GCUACCCCCCUCUUCCUUCACGGGCCGACUCAUCGGGCCCAAACCACCUACACACCCUCAAGGCCCAACCUCACUCCAGCCCGCCCACCCUGUUAACUCUAUUGAGGGCCCUGACCCGCAGGCCUUUUGGGCCCCAUUUCCUCUCUUCCGCAAGCCCAACCAAGCUGUGAUCAGAUCCAAUUGGAGCCGUUUCGAGUGUCCAUCGUCUGCAACCACGCCCCGAUCGUCGCCCCAGUCCACGAUUACACGAUUCUGAUUGACUGCAUCCGCCAUAGGUAACAGGUUCUUUCUUUUGGGCUUGUUUAUCUAAUUAUGUUCUAGUUCUUGCAUGACAGUCCUAUUUUAAAACUUAUUUUCUUGUCAAACCGUAAAAUCUAGAAUAUUUACCGCCACACCCAUCCUACCCACCAUUUAAAUCUAAAUAUUAAAUUAGCACACUUAGCGACAGGACAGUUCUCGAUAUCCAUCAAUCAGAUUACUUUCGGAUUUUGAACGACCGUAACACGUGUUUGCAACCUAAUUUUUUAUAGUGACUAAUUUUCUACCUUAAUUCUGAAAUAACCACAGUACAGAUUAGUAAUAUUUACUUUUAAGUUAUUUUUGUGAAAAUUUGCUGAUUUUCGAAUUCAUAGUAGAUUGCAUUAGUAGGUUGUCCUGCAUUGCAUUUGGUAAGUUAGGGUUCAUUAGUAGCAUUGCAUAUCAUAUCACCAACUAGAGUAGUCCCUGCAUGCUAACCCGUAGUGGUAGAGAGUACCUCCUCACUGACUUUCAGACCCCUUUACCCACCAUGGACCCCAGAGUUCUACAAGAUAUUUUAGAACAAUUAGCUGCAUUACGAGCUGAUCAAGAUGAAUUCAAAAGAGAGAUCCGUGCUCUAGUGCAACACCCUAGGACUCCUGAACCGUCAACCCUAAUCGCAGCUUAUCCCGAGCUUGGUUUGACCAUACCACCUGUAGCUUUUUUCCAUCCCCCUAGGAACCAAAUUCCUCCUGAUCACCCAGCGUGAUCUUGACGAGCGACUACUUCGUACCUUAUGAGUAGAUGCUCCCACA
rnacentral:lncRNA from 1 species